CCUGCUGUAACCAGUUCUGUUAUGUUUUUAUACUGGUUCCUUUCUUUCAAAACACCAUUAAAAUAAUUAUUAUUUGAGUCUCCCAAUUGAAUCCGUCUGGCUCUGGACUUCUGUUGUAGAGCACUCUCUUCUAUCAUUGACCAUUUUUCCAGCUUCAAUACCAUUUCCUUUUCUUUAGUCUGCAAAUCAUCAGUAUAGUGCAGCCUCAUGUGGUUCUGAAUGUCCUUCAACUCCUCCAUGCUAGACUCAAUUUUCU
rnacentral:lncRNA from 1 species